GACGAACGCUGGCGGCGUGCUUAACACAUGCAAGUCGUACGGUAAGGCCCUUUCGGGGGUACACGAGUGGCGAACGGGUGAGUAACACGUGAGUAACCUGCCCACAACUUUGGGAUAACGCUAGGAAACUGGUGCUAAUACUGGAUAUGUGCUCCUGCUGCAUGGUGGGGGUUGGAAAGCUCCGGCGGUUGUGGAUGGACUCGCGGCCUAUCAGCUUGUUGGUGGGGUAGUGACCUACCAAGGCGGCGACGGGUAGCCGGCCUGAGAGGGUGACCGGCCACAUUGGGACUGAGAUACGGCCCAGACUCCUACGGGAGGCAGCAGUGGGGAAUAUUGCACAAUGGGCGCAAGCCUGAUGCAGCAACGCCGCGUGCGGGAUGACGGCCUUCGGGUUGUAAACCGCUUUCAGCAGGGACGAAGCUUUUUGUGACGGUACCUGCAGAAGAAGCACCGGCUAACUACGUG
rnacentral:rRNA from 1 species